rnacentral:rRNA from 1 species
GACGAACGCUGGCGGCGUGCUUAACACAUGCAAGUCGAACGGUGAAAGCGGAGCUUGCUCCGCUGGAUCAGUGGCGAACGGGUGAGUAACACGUGGGCAACCUGCCCCUCACUUCGGGAUAACUCCGGGAAACCGGGGCUAAUACCGGAUAUGACCUCCUUGGGCAUCCUUGGAGGUGGAAAGUUUUUCGGUGAGGGAUGGGCCCGGGGCCUAUCAGCUUGUUGGUGAGGUAGUGGCUCACCAAGGCGACGACGGGUAGCCGGCCGGAGAGGGCGACCGGCCACACUGGGACUGAGACACGGCCCAGACUCCUACGGGAGGCAGCAGUGGGGAAUAUUGCGCAAUGGGCGAAAGCCUGACGCAGCAGCGCCGCGUGCGGGAUGGCGGCCUUCGGGCUGUAAACCGCUUUCAGCAGGGAAGAAGCCGCAAGGUGACGGUACCUGCAGAAGAAGCACCGGCUAACUACGUGCCAGCAGCCGCCGUAA